GACGAACGCUGGCGGCGUGCUUAACACAUGCAAGUCGAGCGGAAAGGCCCUGCUUUUGUGGGGUGCUCGAGUGGCGAACGGGUGAGUAACACGUGAGUAACCUGCCCUUGACUUUGGGAUAACUUCAGGAAACUGGGGCUAAUACCGGAUAGGAGCUCCUGCUGCAUGGUGGGGGUUGGAAAGUUUCGGCGGUUGGGGAUGGACUCGCGGCUUAUCAGCUUGUUGGUGGGGUAGUGGCUUACCAAGGCUUUGACGGGUAGCCGGCCUGAGAGGGUGACCGGCCACAUUGGGACUGAGGUACGGCCCAGACUCCUACGGGAGGCAGCAGGGGGGAAUAUUGCACAAUGGGCGGAAGCCUGAUGCAGCAACGCCGCGUGCGGGAUGACGGCCUUCGGGUUGUAAACCGCUUUCGCCUGUGACGAAGCGUGAGUGACGGUAAUGGGUAAAGAAGCACCGGCUAACUACGUG
rnacentral:rRNA from 1 species